rnacentral:rRNA from 1 species
UACGUAGGGUGCGAGCGUUGUCCGGAAUUACUGGGCGUAAAGAGCUCGUAGGGGGUUCGGUAAGUCGGAUGUGAAAUCUCCAGGCUCAACCUGGAGGGGUCAUUCGAUACUGCCGUGACUAGAGGUCGGUAGGGGAGUGUGGAAUUCCUGGUGGAGCGGUGAAAUGCGCAGAUAUCAGGAGGAACACCCGUAGCGAAGGCGGCACUCUGGGCCGAUACUGACACUGAGGAGCGAAAGCGUGGGGAGCGAACAGG